rnacentral:rRNA from 1 species
UGGGGGAUAUUGCACAAUGGGCGAAAGCCUGAUGCAGCGACGCCGCGUGGGGGAUGAAGGCUUUCGGGUUGUAAACCUCUUUCGCUAUCGAACAAGGCCCGCUUAGGGUGGGUUGAGGGUAGGUGGAGAAGAAGCGCCGGCUAACUACGUGCCAGCAGCCGCGGUAAUACGUAGGGCGCGAGCGUUGUCCGGAAUUAUUGGGCGUAAAGGGCUUGUAGGCGGCUUGUUGCGCCUGCUGUGAAAACGCGGGGCUUAACUUCGCGCGUGCAGUCGGUACGGGCAGGCUUGAGUGUGGUAGGGGUGACUGGAAUUCCAGGUGUGGCGGUGGAAUGCGCAGAUAUCUGGAGGAACACCGAUGGCGAAGGCAGGUCACUGGGCCAUUACUGACGCUGAGGAGCGAAAGCAUGGGUAGCGAACAGG